GGAUCUCUAAGGUCCUCAUGGCCUAUGGGAUUUGUCUUCUUGGCCUAGGUUAAGCAAUUGGAGUUGCUGGUUCCAAAGCAUCUCAGAGAGACUAUCAGUUGUUCUUGUUUUUGUGAUAGUGGUCAUGAUGCUAGUCUGUUCCAUUUUAUCCAGAGUUUUAAAUGUUUCUAUGCAGCCACUCUCUCAUCAGAUGAUUGCCAUAAUGACACAAUAGAAGAUCAAGAAGAUCAUGCAAUACAGUUCACUAUGAAGAUGACCGAACAAUUUAGGAGUGGACCAAUCAGAAAAAAGUCAAUAUACAUCCUUAAUCCAUCACAUAGGAUGCCCACCCACAGCUUCCCCAUGCUGCUGUCUGCAACCAGAGCAUCCCUGAAGCCUUCCCUGUUUUCCAUUGUAAAGAUUUUCACUCUCCUGCCUGCUGUGAGUGUCUCCCAAAUGCAAGUGAUGGUAGUUGCCUGCCAUCUUUAGCCAACUCUGAAUAAACAGCCUUUGCUUAUUCUCA